rnacentral:rRNA from 1 species
UGGCAGUCAGAGGCGAUGAAGGACGUGCUAAUCUGCGAUAAGCGUCGGUAAGGUGAUAUGAACCGUUAUAACCGGCGAUUUCCGAAUGGGGAAACCCAGUGUGAUUCGUCACACUAUCAUUAACUGAAUCCAUAGGUUAAUGAGGCGAACCGGGGGAACUGAAACAUCUAAGUACCCCGAGGAAAAGAAAUCAACCGAGAUUCCCCCAGUAGCGGCGAGCGAACGGGGAGCAGCCCAGAGCCUGAAUCAGUGUGUGUGUUAGUGGAAGCGUCUGGAAAGGCGUGCGAUACAGGGUGACAGCCCCGUACACAAAAAUGCACAUACUGUGAGCUCGAUGAGUAGGGCGGGACACGUGGUAUCCUGUCUGAAUAUGGGGGGACCAUCCUCCAAGGCUAAAUACUCCUGACUGACCGAUAGUGAACCAGUACCGUGAGGGAAAGGCGAAAAGAACCCCGGCGAGGGGAGUGAAAAAGAACCUGAAACCGUGUACGUACAAGCAGUGGGAGCACGCUUAGGCGUGUGACUGCGUACCUUUUGUAUAAUGGGUCAGCGACUUAUAUUCUGUAGCAAGGUUAACCGAAUAGGGGAGCCGAAGGGAAACCGAGUCUUAACUGGGCGUUAAGUUGCAGGGUAUAGACCCGAAACCCGGUGAUCUAGCCAUGGGCAGGUUGAAGGUUGGGUAACACUAACUGGAGGACCGAACCGACUAAUGUUGAAAAAUUAGCGGAUGACUUGUGGCUGGGGGUGAAAGGCCAAUCAAACCGGGAGAUAGCUGGUUCUCCCCGAAAGCUAUUUAGGUAGCGCCUCGUGAAUUCAUCUCCGGGGGUAGAGCACUGUUUCGGCAAGGGGGUCAUCCCGACUUACCAACCCGAUGCAAACUGCGAAUACCGGAGAAUGUUAUCACGGGAGACACACGGCGGGUGCUAACGUCCGUCGUGAAGAGGGAAACAACCCAGACCGCCAGCUAAGGUCCCAAAGUCAUGGUUAAGUGGGAAACG